AUUUGCACAACUUCAGCUCUCUGUGUAGCUUCAAGCUGCAGCUCAGGAGCCAGAGGAAUGCUGGACCAUUAGGCCAGAUGUAUGAGCUACAAAUAACUAAAUACAAAUAAAUUUCUCUUUUUGUGACACUUAAUAGCAGCUGUCUCGGUAGUCUAAUGAACAUCACAGAUUAACUGAACAUGAUUUUCAGAUAUUUCUAUCCUUAGUGUGCUAAAAAGACACAGCCAUUGAUAAGAGGCCAUGCCCUGCCUUCUGUUUGCGUGUGUCAUCACCCUUGGUGUGUAUCUGGGCUAUGGUCUGAAAGGGAUUUAGAGACACCAAACCUCACCAAUCAAGACUUAGUAAAUCAAGACUUAGGCUUUUGUAUCCUGUUUUUAAAAGUCAUCAUUGCUGAAGAAUCUGCCAUCAACUGUGGCUUGACUGUCCUUUCUCUUACAAGUUUUCCAGCUCUGUAGCCUGGUUCUCACUGCAGAUUGGAACCACUAUAUCCACUUACAGACACGGGGGACACAUUACUCUCUUCUUUGCAACAGCCUCAGUCAGACUUGAGAGUUUAACUCGUACCAAUGGCUCUUCCAUCUUUCAGCUAAACAUUUCCCAUUCUUCUAACCUUUCCUCCUAAAUUGUGUUGGCUCUUGUGUUAAGUAGACCCUCUUUUCCUACAGACUGUGCACCUCUUCCUGGAAGAGAACUGACAAACACCCCAGUGUGCCAGACAAACAGGAAGAGCUACCACCAUGCUUGUCAUACAGACUGUAUUAUUCUCUACAUCAUAAUGUGAUCUUUGACUGACCCUUUCCUGCAGAACUGCUGCUUAUGCAGUUAUUUCCAUUUUAUAUUCCAGUAGUUGCUAUUUCUGCCAUGUAUGGGAUUUUAAGAUUGUCUUAAUAGAGUUAUCGCCUAUAUUUUUAUUUUCCCCACCUCUUAUUUCUCCAGCUUGUCACGAACAUUUUGAAUUCUAAUCCUUCCUCACAGUGUAUUUACAGCUCCUCCAGACUGGUGUCAGCUGUGAGUUUCAUCAAUUUACUUUUUGUUCUGUCAUUCACGUCAUUAACAGGAGGGCUGAUAAAGCUGAAGAGACAAACUCCUGCACCAAGGCAGGUUGCUCUCCCUGUUGGGAACUGACUGGUUUCUAAACUGGUACCAAUUUCCCACCAUUCCCAUACCUGCUUUAUAAGAGUGUGAUCAAGACUGAUAUUUUCCCCAGCUUGUGUGUAAGAAUGUCAUGUGAGAUAGUAGUUAUGAUAUUUAGCAAAGUUCGUUCAGUUUGUUAAAUACAAACACAAACUUCUUCUCUAUAUGCAAGAGAGAUUAUUCUGCUGCAGAAAGGAAAUAAAAAGUUCCUGAUGUCUUUUGUCUAUUUCUCUUUCUGAUAUUCUAUCCAUUCCCUUUCAGGUGUAUGCAAGAAGUUUGCUUGUUUUAGAGGUUUUUCUGUGUCUAUGACUCCUGGAUUAAGCCAUGCUUAUCAUUACAGAAUUUUCAGUCCUCAUAGGAACCAAAAUAAUUUACUGGCCCUAUCUCAAAGAAUCUUCAUUACUGUUAUUACCCUGGGAGAAGCAAAAUGUCUUUGAAGAGUUGCCUGGCACUAAGUGGUGUCUGAAGCCUUAAGCAUACCAAAACUAACAAAAAUGCCACCAUUUAAGUGCACAUCCCCACAUUGCUUUCUCCCUUCUGACCAAAGAGCCAAUAGAAGCAAGGAUUAGGUUAAUUCAUUCUAAGAGCCAGACUAAAUAAACUUCCAGAUCUCCCCAUUUCUGACCCUCUCAUUUCUUGCAAGCAGCCCCUGUUUGUGAAAGUCUCCCAGUUCACCCAUGUUCCCCACCUCUACAUUACAAUUGCCAAUACUGAAGGCAGACCUUAGCAAAACCAGGAAAAUUAAACCCAUUCUUAAGUGUGCAUUUAAAUGUAGAAUCAUUGGUGCUUGUCAAAUCAUUAAAUAAAGUGAAAUACCUUGAUGCUUUAUUUACAAAUUCAGCAGGAUCUUGGUGCUCCCAUGCCCCAUAUCAGAGACCCUAUCAGCACUUAAAUCCUUGGUGGCACCUGCAGGCACUGGGGCUCUGCUCUGCACUGGAGUUCAGCAGAAGCUGAGGGCAGUUGUGUUCCAGGAGGACAAAAGCCCAUCUGGCUUUCCCACCGGGAGCAGCUCCUGCUCUGGUGAGAGCCCAGCAAAGGGCACUGUGUGUGGAGGCAGGGGCUGUUCACUGGCAGCCCUGGACGAGACAGCCCUGGACUCCUGCUGGAGUCCAGCAUCUGGGAGGAUCCUUAUCCCUGACCACAGCAAGGGGCAGGAGAGCCCUUGAACUCCUGGAGGCUUUCUCAUUCUGUCUGGUGUAGUAGCACACCACACCAUCUACCUCAGAUGGCGUGGUAUGCUACUAUAGAAUAAAAUAAUUUUAAAAAGGUAUGGCUUAUCUAUGUUGGAUACCCACCUCCACUGAAAAUUGUGUGUAGUUCAGGACCUGAGCCUCUGAGUACUUUUCAAAGCAGUUUGUUGUAAAUCCUUUGAAUUUGUAUCUUUCAGAACUGCAGAAAUUAUAAAAUUUGAAAAAUGCAACCUUUUACAGAGUAAAAAUAGUUUUUAUGGUGAAGUGGCUCCCCACCUUUUUAGCCAUAUUUAUCCCAGUGGUUGACUUUUGUAAGAGUAACUGAAACCCUGAGAGACUGAUGAAAUUUAACAAUGUGUGUUCAUUAUAUCCAAUUUUGUUCUCUUGGUGAAAACACAGACUCCUAAAUCCUAUUUAGACUCUGAAAUUUCAGAGGUUCCAGCCCUCAGCUGACCUUAACACCUCUUAGUUUUGUGCAGCUUUUGUAAGCCUGUGCACAUGUUUAAAUUCUCCCAUGGCAAAUGGUUUUGGAGAUCAGAUGUUCAGGAUUAAGAGCACAACCAGUUUUUGCCUUGUUUAAAAUAAUUUUGACAUUUUAGUGAAAGUCAUUAAGUUGUUUUCUUGUACUCUCAAAUGGGCCACAGUGUGAGUGAGCCAUUUUUAGGAAAAUUACAUAAAAAGAUUUGAAUUGCUAAAUUACUCACCUUGAGAAUGUUAGCACAAAUAUUUUGAAAACUCUGAAGGUUUUGACUGGGGUAAAUAUUUGUACCUGAAUUCCUCCCCUGGGAAGAUUAAUUCACAAAUAAAUAAAUUAUUUAAGUCAGGGGCCAUUCUGACUAAAAGCAUGUAGGAAUAGUCACUUCUAGCUGAAGAUACUAUUAGUAUUGUUCAUAUUUACAUUCUUCUUUUUUCUUUCUUUCUCUUAACUGUGGAGUGGAAUAAAAACCUCCCCAAAUGGAGCCAGGUUUAAGGAUCUCCACACAGGUGCAGCAUGGUUCUGUGGGUUCUGAUUUCCAACCAGGAGAAUCUCACUAGUUCCAGCCCUGCAGCACAAAGGAUUUGAGCAUCUCUGAAACUGGAUGUUUGGCUCUAGAAAAACAGAGGAUGGAUAGGAAGCAAACACAAGAAGGCACUCUGUUUUUCUCAGCUCCAAUGUCUGCAUUAACAGGCAAGGCUGAGAAUGCCACCUGCUUACAGAAAGGCUUUCAACUCAUAGGGCAUGGAGUUCCUAAUAGUGUUCCAUUAGAUAUAAUGAGGUAUGCUGGUGCAGAUUUCCCCCCUGAAGUUUGCACGCAUUUGUACAAAAUAAGGCUCCUGCUGGGGUGUUUUAUGAAUGUGGAGUCUUUCAGUUCCAGUUAAAUAGGAUAACCAGCUGUUUUCCAGGGCACAUGAAGAAAUCCUUGGAUUGGUUGUUGUCGCUACUCUCAGCAUUAGCAUGCCUGCAAAAAAUGAAUAAAACCACAGAAAUAUUUUACUGUAACCUUCUUGAAGGGAAGGCAAGCCUUUGAAUGCAUCAGAAAUUGUUCUCAUAGAUGCAGGGGGGAAAAAAGGAUAAAAAUCCAUUUUCUUUGUCCCUUCAUUUUGUUACAAACCUUCUUUGCAUCUUCAGCCUCCAGGUCUCCCUCCCACGAGUUGUCAUCUGUGUUGUCACUAGCAAGACUUUAUUCCCCAAACCUGCAGAUGUUAUUACAUUUGAGGAUUAUAAGGUUAUGGAGGACGUGGUAGAAGCCAGAUAUGGAUUGGAUGUUUUUAUUAGAGGAUUACCAAAUUUUGUUAACAGGAGUACGCCUGAGUAAUUCUACUGGAAGCUCUGCUGUGUUUGUUAUGAAACGUCUGAUCCUGAAGCAGAUACAGAGCUGCACUGUGGCAAGGGCCAAGUUUCUCACCAUGCCAAGGACAGGUCAUGUUCAUGAUAUGUAAAGCUGCAUCAGUGCAAAUUAUGUGUAAUGAUUUCACUGGAAAAAGUGUAAUGGUCAUGGCAGAGGUAUCUCACCAUAGAAUCCCCAAUAUCCCAAAUGACUUGUUCACUUCAGAAUCCUUUUCCACUGCUGGUACAUGUUAUAGGCAACAAAAUAAAAUCAAUAUACAAGGUGUGUACUUCAGUGUUAGUUUCACAUACAGUGAAAAUAUCUAAUGCUUUCUGUAGUUUUUUAUAACUUGAACAUUCCUAGUAUAUGACACCAAGAUCUCAAGCAAAUUUGUUGCUCCUAAGGCAUGAGAUUAUGAUGACAUCAACUCUGUAAAUGACAUUGUACUGGCGUAUUUGUGAAUGUAUUUGUAUUUGGCUAACUCAAGCUAGUGAGCUUAAAGCAAGAAAUCAGAUGAGAAUGUUGAUGAAGAAUAAAUAAAUAAUCUGACCCUGAAGAGACCAUUUUCUCACAGUGAUGAACUUGCCCAGCUAAGGUCACCCAAAGGCUACUGAGGAAACUUCUCUUCUUUCAAGAGGAAGCUGUGAAUUAGUAAUCAUCCUGCUCAACUCUGAAUCCCAUCAUCAGUCUGAGCUUCUCCUAGACUCAUAGAAUAACCUGUGUUGGAAGAGAGUCACAAGGAUUGCUGAAGUCCAAUUCCUGGCCCUGCACAGGACACUCCAAGAAUCCCACCAUGUGCCUGAGAGCACUGUCCAAAUGCUUCUGGAACCCUGUCAGACUUGGUGCUGUGACCACUGCCCUGGGGAGCCUGUUCCAGUGCCCAGCCAUCCUCAGGGUGAAGAACCUUUUCCUGAUAUCCAGCAUAAACCUCCCAUGAGACAGCUAUGAAGCCUCCCCUGAGUGUGGCUAUUCAGUUUAUUAAAAUCCAUUUGUCUGUUUCUGCAGGAAGAAUGAGUGUCUUUUGCCUUGACUAUGGAUAUUUACUCAUGUUUUUGACUGGACCUAAGAUGGCACAGUAGGAUUUUUAGGGGUUUUUUUUUGCUUUAAUGGGUAAUUGUUAACAUCAAAAUUGCUCUCACAAUAUCCAACUGGGUAAGGAUUUUAAAAUCAGCUUUGGGAGAGUUCAACUAGAAUUCCACUAUGAAAUGUAGAUUUUAAGAAACUUCACAUUAAAAGGUAAAUCUCUCUACAAGGUAGAAUAGAGCAUGCACACUGUAUGUAAUCACAUAGCUACAGCUCCUCAUUUUAGCCCUUUAGUCUCAUUUUUCAGCCAGCAGAAGAGAAUCUCUGUUCUGAACACUUCUGGUGUGGUGUGACUACAUAGUUUGGUAAAUGCUGUAUGUAGCUUCAUCAAAGAAUAUUGUCACAUCACAAGAGGAAGUAUGGUCCUAAGAUUAAAAGACAGAUUCAGAUUCUGGAAGCAUUUUAGUCUCUUUCUCUUGACAUGGAAUAAGGAGUCUAGCCUCCUCUUACCUCCAAUUUGCCCUUCUUCAAAAUGUUGAUAAUGAUGACUCACUUCCUCAUGGGGGUACUUUGAAGCUUAGAUGGAGUCUGAGUUGUUUCUGACACUGAGAAAAUUGAUGUCAGAAACUGCAAUAUUGGAAUACUAAUCUUUCAAGGAAGAUAAAUAAUUGUCCCCAAAUGAAAAGCUAUUUUCUCUGCAAAUUUUUUUGCCCUCUCUAUAAUAUUCUUUGAGUUAAUAGAGUCCACACUUAAUACAGACAACAGAGGAGACAGUGAACACUGCUUGCUUAAGUAAACAGCAGGCAGAGCCCAAAUUAUUAGUAAAUACCAAGUCUUCAUUUAGGUUGAAUAACGCUGCAAUCCAACAAAUAAAUGAGCCAUCAAGUUUGAAUUUAUGUAGCAUACGAAACACAUUAAAGCCAUCUGACCAUGACAAAGGCCUUUUCUGCUGUGAAUAAUGAGGCCAACACAUUAGAAUAUCCUUUAGAUGAAACAUUAAACCCAAGGUCCUUUCUGUUUGUCUUUGGUGGCUCUUCGGGUAGAAGUUAAAGACUCCAUGGCAUUUCACUAAAACCAUAGAAAAUCUCUGGCCCCCAGAGGUAUUACUUUCCUAGUAAAGAAACGAAUUAAAUUUAAAAAUUAGAAUAGCCAAGGCUGUGUGUGAGUUGAAUAUCAUCAAGGAAAAUGCCAGUUUUCCCCUCCAUGAGGAGAGUGAGGAAAGUUCUCUUGUUUCAUGGAGAGGAAGGUGAGUGUGCCUGGUAUAAAUAUAGGUCUUUAAAAGUCCUUUGGGAUUUUGGGAGUGUAAAGCACAGAAAAAUGGUUUGUAGUCAUCAUUAACAAAAAGUGUGGUAAAGGAGAACAAAUCCAAGUCAUAUAUGAUAUCUUUGCAUGUGUCUAUGCUUACAUAACUAGACAUGCACUUUUACAUGUAUAAUUUCCAAGAAGUGGCUUGGAGACAAACAGAAAAUAUGCCAGGAAAAAUUCUUUACUUCAGCCUGUACACGUGUGAUUCACUUUAUGAAGUCCAUCUCGAUUUUCAGCUUCUUUUGUGUCAUACCAAUGAUUUUGUAUCACUUGAGAUAGUUUAGCUGUGCCUUUAGUCUGAGUCUCAGUGAAUGUUUAUCUACUUACUAAAAACCAGGCUCUUGUUCCCUGAGCCUGCAUCUUAGUUGUGUAGUUUCACACCAGUUUCUUAGCAUUAGACAUUAGAGGCAUAAGAGGUCAUGUGAAAGGUAAAUUUCAGACUCCUCUCAUAGAUGCAGAUGUACUGUUUUGUUGUUAUCAAGCUGACUGCACUCACCCAUUUGAAUUUAAAAGAAUUAUAGAGAGGACAAUCCUCUUGAAAGAAACACAAGAAUUAGGUUAAAGCUUAACUCCCUUAGCAGCAGAGAUAAUAAAGCCUUUCAUGAAGAACUGACUGAUGAAUCUGGGCAUCAUUCAGUAUUCUGAAUAAUGAGCCACUUCUUCUGUCUUGCUGAGAAACAUAUGGGAUGUGAGGAAACCAGCAAUAAACCCAGCCAUGUCUGUCCCAUCCAGCAUCCUCCCUGCUGGAGGCAGGGAAGUGCUGCCUUAUGAGCAAAGGUGGUUUAAGGGAAACCUUGGUAUUCAGUAAAAGCAAGCUCAGUCUUUGUGAAUCUUACCUGGCUUGAAGCCUCUGUUCUAUCAACAGGAAUGCCAUAGAGAGCUGUGGUGCUUGUCCAACAGGGAUUAAUUCUGGCUGGUUUAGGGAAUCCAUUGUGGAUUUAGUGUGUGAUUACUUGAAACUUCUGACACCAUGGAAAUGUCCCACAGGUUGUGCUUUACAGCAGAAGAGAGAGUGGUAACAGGAGAGCAGUGUAAAUAUCCAACACUGACACUUCUUCACAUGGAUUUCAUUGACUUCCAUUUCAUUAAUCCCCACAUUAGGGACAGGAAGUCUGGUAAUGAUGACUGAAAGCACAUGCUGCCUUUUCUGACUAGUCUGACAUAUAGAGGGUACAUGCACCCUAUGCAUAUAUCAAAUGGAUCUUUAAGCCAUGCCAUUUCUUUUAUGACAAUAAUUAAAGAUACCAUUCUAAUCUAAAGGGCCACAUCCAGCCUGUGCUUUGUGAUGGCCACUUUGCACGAGGUAGCUACAAAUCUUGUAAGUAGCUUGUGUGGUGCUCAUAGCAACAAAUGGAAUUUUCUUUUUUUUGAGGAUUUCUUCUAGACCUAGAUGAACACAGAAAAGAAUUUUCAAAUUUAGCUCAUUAACUUCUAAUAAAAAAAUUAUUUUAGUGAGUUGAAAGUUUUGUCUUCCAUUUUAUCUGCUUUGGUAUAAUUAUGGACCCUUCCAGGCAUUACCUAUAGACCUUUACUCGAUGCCUUAAAAUAUUUAAUAUAUUCAACAUGUGGUAUCCAACUUAAAAGGUUUUUUUAAAAGUUGCUGAUUCCUAGCCUUCAUUUUCUUUGUCUCUUUAACUGUUGUCCAAAAAACUGGAGGCGGGGUGCUCCCAACAUAGGGUCUGUGAUAUAUGAAUGGAUUGUUUGGACUCCCUUCAGAGGAAGGUGAUGAUAGACAUCUGCCCAAAAAGCAAUUAACUGCAGUGUACUUAGAGAGACAAAAUAAUUCAGUGGUGAUUUACCACCUCCAGAAAGGGUUUUUUUUAGAAACGGUACUGUUAUUUGUUGUGGAAAUUUUUUUCAGAUGUUUUACUCCCAAUUUUCAAGAACUAAGAAAAGGAAAAGUUGCAAAUUAUUUUACCAUAUAACACAGACAACAAUAUGUAGAAGUAAUUGAUAGGGACAUUUGAAGGGAAAACAGGGUCGCACCAUUAGCCCCUAAUAAAAUGCAUCAGAGUUGAUGAAUUAUUUUAAUGGGACAGAAUGACAAAAAAGGGACUGUUUCACCUAAGCAGGGACAGCUGGUCCCUCUGACAAGGAUACAUUGCUGUCUUGUGGAGCCUGCCAGCCAGCAAGGCUGAAAUAAUAGCACCGAGCGAGGUGUGAAUGCUCCUCGUUCACCUAAAUGGAGAGGUAAUACGAAGUCUAAUUAGGAGCACUUGGUAUUAACUGCUUCGUGUCCGAAGGCAGCAGAUCAGCUGCCCUCCAUCACGGCCAGGGAAGGUCCGCUUUGGUUUUACAGAUGGUUGCGCAUCCCGAUGCCACCACGCCAGCUGCGCCAACCAACAUCCAGCUGACAACUGGCCCUAACAGAGGGUUUCCAUCCCUAUUUCUGUUCCUAGGCAAUGGGAGCCUGGGACAAAGUUUCCACCUGGGGACCGAACGGCGUGUUUCUCAAAAGCAGAGCUGCUCCCUUACCGUAGCUGGCAGUGCCAGGCAGCAGCUCUGGGGGGGCUUUAGGGGCUGUACCUGCACGGAAGAUUUCGAUGCCUGCCCAGAAAUCCGCCCUUGCAGCCAAGCCCAUGGCGCAGGGCAGCCCCGGAGCGGGGCCCUGGAGCCCUCGCCCUGCUGCCAGGGCCAGGGCCAGGGACAGGGACAGGGCCAGGGACAGGGCCAGGGACAGCCCAGCUGCGGGGCUGGAGGGGCGGGCACAGCCCGCAGCCAGAGCCAUCUGCCAGCACACAAAGCACCACAGGUGCGGGUACAGCAUCUCGGUGAGUCAUUGCAGAAUUUCCUUCCGUACAACGUGUUUGAGUGAGGGGAGAGAGGUGGAUUAACGCAACUGACAGACAUUUCUCCAGUUACUUGAAAGGUGAUUGCAAAAUGGCUGUUUUGUCUUGCAUCUCACCCGCUCCUGAGAACAAUUAUCUAGGUGGGGAUGGGAUGGCCCAGGGGAGGGACACUAAGGCAGCUGAGGCUUCAUUUGUAAGUCACACAACCAAGGCUAGUGAGGAAUGCAAGGCACUGAGCCUUUGAUGGCUUUUGUGAACUGGAAACCAGAGUUCAAUUCCAAAAGAAUUAAGGACCUGAUCCUACUUUCACUUAAACAAUGGUCCAAGCAUGAGUCUUUAGCACCAUGUUGCAAAUCCUCAGUGCUACUUUUAGCAAGUGUCCUGGCACCGAGGAGAUGAAGGCAGGCAGGAUUGGAGAGCCAGUGCCUGGUGCUGCCUGCAGAGCCAGGCUGAACUGCACUGUCACAGCACCACUGGCUCAUCCUGAUGCUCAAUUUCAAAAGGAAAAAGUGGGGAGCAUCUGUUAUGUGCAACAGUAAGGAAAAAACAACCCAAAACCCUAACCAAAACACAAACAAAAACAGCAUGUGGGAGGGAGGGAAAGGAAAAGAAGGAUGGAAAACAAGCUAAGGAAAAACCAAAAGAACAAACAUUAAUAGAAAACCCAUGCCAAAACCAAAGCCUUUGGUCCCCUGAUCAAAAUAACUUCGACCAAUGUAUCUACUCUCAGAAGAGCCCUAUUUCAAAAAGCAGCCAGCUUUCUAACAAAUAAAGAAUUGCUCUGUGCUUUCCUUCCAAAGCUGAAAUCCAGCUUUCUAGAGUAAGAUGAAAAGCUAAUUUUCUAGAAGUUUAGCGUGUUUGUGUAAGCAUGUCAGGUGAAAUAAAUGACAUUGAUAUUCAGUGUGUAUAUAGGUGGCACCAGCUCCCAGAACUCGCUCUCUUUUUCAUCUUACUGGAACAUUAACUUAUGCUCCUGAGGGCUAUGUAGAAUGCAGAGUGAGAGUGUGAACUUAAAAGAUAAUUUAUCAUAGCUUUCUCCUUGUAUCAUUCUCUUUUCCUAAACUUUUCCAUAUCAGAAUACAGAGCAGAGGGAAUUUACUUUUGCCUUAGCUGCUUCUAACUGCACCCAUGCAGGCUCUUACUCAAAUCAAACCUUUGCAUCCUGCAGAUUGACUUCUCAGCAUAUUCCCUUGGUAAGUAGAGGAGUGGAUGUUUUGCCAUUAUAACUGGGUCACAGGAACCUUAAAAUUUGAUCUUUUGAAUAGCUAUAGUAACUGCAAAACAUAUCAAGGACUAUAGUAAGAGAAGAGAAGGGGUUUCAUAGGAAAGUAUCUCAUCCAGUCCAGCAAGAGCUGGUGACAAAGAGGAUCAAGGAACACCAUUCUUUACUCCUUGUUCUAAACAAUUGUGAGCAACAGCUCUGGAAAGGCUUGGACUCUCUUUCUAUUAUGCAUUUAUCUACAACUGAGUGUGACAGAGAUGUUCUACUGAAUGUGCUACAAAACAGAAAUGUAAUGUUAGUGACAAUGUAGGUAAAACACUGGCAAAAACUGGAAACUGGCACCCAGUUUCCCUCUUCUAUAUUAAUAUACAGAAAUUAAUCUUCAUCAAUUACUUAAACUUAUAAUUUGACUUUAUAGUAGAGCUCAUUUCUUCAAUUCACAUUUUGCAGAAUGGAAAACUGAGGUGUACACAGGUUACAUGACUUUUUUCUUCCUGAUCAACUGUUGAGUUAAAAAACUGUUGAGCUGCUUUUCCUUUUUAUUUUUCCUUGCUGCUUUUCUUUGUUUGGUUUUUUUUUUUUGGUUGUUUGGUGUUUUGGUUGGUUGGUUGGUUUGGGCAGGUUUUUUUUAUUGUUGUUGCUUGGUUGGUUUUGGUUGGUUGUUUUGAGUUUUUGUUUUUUUUUUUUUUUAUUACAGGAAUAGCAAUGUUUUAAUGUCUAAUGUUGCUGAUAGGCAUCAGCAUUGGAGAUGUGUGGAGAUGGCAGAUUACAUAGCUUUAUUUAAAAAAUAAAGUAUUUUAAAGUGU